rnacentral:rRNA from 1 species
UACGUAGGGUGCGAGCGUUUGUCCGGAAUUACUGGGCGUAAAGAGCUCGUAGGUGGUUUGUCGCGUUGUUCGUGAAAACUCACAACUCAAUUGUGGGCGUGCGGGCGAUACGGGCAGACUGGAGUACUGCAGGGGAGACUGGAAUUCCUGGUGUAGCGGUGGAAUGCGCAGAUAUCAGGAGGAACACCGGUGGCGAAGGCGG